rnacentral:rRNA from 1 species
CCUACGGGAGGCAGCAGUAGGGAAUAUUGCUCAAUGGGGGAAACCCUGAAGCAGCAACGCCGCGUGGAGGAUGAAGGUUUUCGGAGUGUAAACUCCGUUUGUUAGAGAAGAUAAUGACGGUAACGAACGAAUAAGCACCGGCUAACUCCGUGCAAGCAGCCGCGGUAAUACGGAGGGGGAAAGCGUUACUCGGAUGCACUGGGCGUAAAGAGCGCGUAGGCGGGAUAGCAAGUCAGAUGUGAAAUCCUAUGGCUUAACCAUAGAACUGCAUUUGAAACUGUUAUUCUAGAGUAUGGGAGAGGUAGGUGGAAUUCUUGGUGUAGGGGUAAAGUCCGUAGAGAUCAAGAGGAAUACUCAUUGCGAAGGCGACCUGCUAGAACAUAACUGACGCUGAUGCGCGACAGCGUGGGGAGCAAACAGGAUUAGAUACCCGAGUAGUC